rnacentral:rRNA from 1 species
CUAUACGACCGAGAGGUGAAAGAUUUAUCGGUGAUGGAUGAGCCCGCGUUGGAUUAACUAGUUGGUGGGGUAAAGGCCUACCAAGGCGACGAUCCAUAGCUGGUCUGAGAGGAUGAUCAGCCACACUGGGACUGAGACNCGGCCCAGACUCCUACGGGAGGCAGCAGUGGGGAAUAUUGGACAAUGGGCGCAAGCCUGAUCCAGCCAUNCCGCNUGAGUGAUGAAGGCCCUAGGGUUGUAAAGCUCUUUCNCCGGUGAAGAUAAUGACGGUAACCGGAGAAGAAGCCCCGGCUAACUUCGUGCCAGCAGCCGCGGUAAUACGAAGGGGGCUAGCGUUGUUCGGAUUUACUGGGCGUAAAGCGCACGUAGGCGGGCUAAUAAGUCAGGGGUGAAAUCCCGGGGCUCAACCCCGGAACUGCCUUUGAUACUGUUAGUCUUGAGUAUGGAAGAGGU